rnacentral:rRNA from 1 species
GACGAACGCUGGCGGCGUGCUUAACACAUGCAAGUCGAACGGAAAGGCCCUGCUUUUGUGGGGUGCUCGAGUGGCGAACGGGUGAGUAACACGUGAGUAACCUGCCCUUGACUUUGGGAUAACUUCAGGAAACUGGGGCUAAUACCGGAUAGGAGCUCCUGCUGCAUGGUGGGGGUUGGAAAGUUUCGGCGGUUGGGGAUGGACUCGCGGCUUAUCAGCUUGUUGGUGGGGUAGUGGCUUACCAAGGCUUUGACGGGUAGCCGGCCUGAGAGGGUGACCGGACACAUUGGGACUGAGAUACGGCCCAGACUCCUACGGGAGGCAGCAGUGGGGAAUAUUGUACAAUGGGCGGAAGCCUGAUGCAGCAACGCCGCGUGCGGGAUGACGGCCUUCGGGUUGUAAACCGCUUUCGCCUGUGACGAAGCGUGAGUGACGGUAAUGGGUAAAGAAGCACCGGCUAACUACGUG